AGCAAAUGCUGGGGAGAACUUUGAUUUAGAUUCUACAGAGUGAUUUAAACUGACAAGAGAGUUGUUGAUGUGGGCAGUGAGACAACUGUGAUCUCUGCAUUUUAUCAACAUCAUCUGUACUUUUUUGUACUUGGUAAAAAACAUUGUGGACAAUAACCAACAUCAGUCAAAUUAUGUAAUUUUCCUUCUCUUUGGGAAUUUUAAAUUACAAAUUUAUGGACAACUUAUUAAUUUAUUUCUUUAUCUUGGUAUUUACUUCUCAAACUUCACUUUUCAUAGCUGUAAAAGCUCAUGAGUGAUUGUGAUUGGGAACAGUUCUUAUUAAGGAAAAGUGAAAAUUAACUUGUGGGUUAACACAGCAAUAAGAAGAAGAGAAGAUGUUAAGAAUAAUACACUUGUUAUGGUGGAGAGUGAAGAGGAAACACUGAUCUUUGGCUUUAGGGACUGAUCGAGUGAGGUUUUCUGCCCUAGGAUACACCCAGUCAGGAAGCAGUAACUGUGGUCUGUUCCAAUCAUGCCUGCAGAUCUGGCCGGGCUAGAAUCCGUUAGUUGAACGACUUAGCCA
rnacentral:lncRNA from 1 species